UUCUUCUCUUUCAGUUGCUCAGACGUCCUAAUAGCAAUCAGAAUCUCAUCCUGCACCGCAUUCAUUCUUCAUCGUUCUAUAAAGUUCAUCUUCUCCAUUGAAGAAUUUUGAUCAAAUGUCAACGUAGUUGUGAGGCGGUUCUAUAAUCGAGAGGCUUCAUCAUUGACGAACUUCAUCAGGAAAUUCCAUGUGGGGUCGGAAUACCCGUUUUUGUCCAUACAAGCUUUUUGCUGUUGAACCUUCCCCGGUGGUGCCGGAGAUGUAGGCGAUAGUGUAGACAUGAUUUGUGCUUGUGCAUAUGGAUUUUCUAAAUGCAGAAAUCAAUGAAGUAUAAAUUCGGGUUCACUCAAGAUCAAUUUGUCCAACUGUACUCGGAGUUUCAAUCGUAUAUGUACAUUCGGCGUCGCUUUUGCCUCCGAUACCAAUCCGAACGAGUCUAAUGAGGUAGAUAAGCUCCAAUUUCCCCAUCUCAAAAUGUUACGUUUUAUGGCUUACAUGUGUAUUAUGUGAUUUUGUUGUUGUAUAUUUUGUUUUCUAUGUAUUAAUUAGACGCAAAACUCAAUGGCUCUGUUGCUUGAAUUGAAAUAUCGUUGUAUCAGCUCAGAUUGA
rnacentral:lncRNA from 1 species